AUCUACAAAGUGCACUGUAGUUAUUCGUCCGGGCUAUCUGACAGCACAUCCAAAACCAGCAGGCUCUCCUACCAAGGACAAGGACACAGAUGAAGGGAAUACAACCACCCGCAGGUUCUCUUCAAGACCUUCUGACUUGGGAAUGUACCACUGGCUGUAAAACCUUGAACUCUCAACCCAACACCAUUAUGAAAUUACCUCACCAGAUGGACUGCAGCAGCAGUUGCAAUGUGAGAUUGCUGGGUAAUAAAAUGGACGAGUUGACAGCGCUAGCCAGGAGUCAGAACAUUUCGGGAGUGCAGUGUUAUGUGUUUUACUGAAACAUGGCUGCACGAGGACAUAUCCGACCAAAACAUUUCCAUAAAGGGCUUUCAGACCGUUUGGGCUGACCGGAAGCGCACUGAGAGCGGGUUCUUUUGAAGACCCUGACCUGGAGCUACAAGCUGACUUCGGUUCUUUGCGGGAAUGGGACCUGCUCUCAGGGCCUCAUGACCAGCUGCUUUUUGAUAUGCCAAGGAUGUGGCCUGGAAGACUAGGGCGCCUUCAUGGCUCUGGAAGCUGGCAGAUUUGAGGUCGGUGCCGCUGCCUGGUGUGUCAUGGGAGCACACAGAAGAUCGAAAGCAGCGAGGUGGCUGCUGGCUGCGUGCCCAGAGACCCGAGAUUUUUUAAUACCAUAAAUCAGCGAGUUGUUUUGUUAUGUCCCCCACCCCCACUGUGACACCUCUUUCUCAUUUAUUAGGGAGAGAGAGAGCCUGUGGUUUGUCGAAUUACCAGGUGAAUGAGUAAUCUGGGGUACUGCAAGUCUGUUUUUAUUGAUGCUUUGCUACACGCUUGAGUGCUUGGUGGAGGGUGCAGAUGGUUUUUUUUUCCUGGUGGGGGAGGGGGAGUGUCAUCACUUUGCUGUUUAUGCGUGGGAGGGGGAGUUGGAGGGCUUUGGGGUUCUAACAUAUAACAGUCAUUCAUCCUUUGCGGCAUUCCUCUGCUUUCGUGGAUGAUUGCGAAGAAAACAUUUCAAGAUGUAUAUCUUUCUCUGACAUUAAAUUUACCUAUUAAUAUAUCCCCUCCACCCCUCUCUGACUAUGCCAUGACUGUUACCUGCUUGACAGAUUUUGUUUUGAUAAAUUAAUAUACUUUUAAACUUUUCCACAGGAGGUACUGAAUAUUAAUACAUAACUAAAAUGCUGGAAAUACAGAUCAAUCUGACACAUGAAGUGAAAAAGUCUAAUGCUUCAGGUGUAGUCUCUUCAGCAUUUCUUUUCAAUGACCUGCCAAGUGCUUCCAGCAUCGACUGUAAAGUAAAGGCAUCCGUUAGUCUUGCGAGACCAUGGAUCUGCACCUGGAAAGUCUUCACUCUCCAGGGCGCAGGCCUGGGCAAGGUUGUA